rnacentral:lncRNA from 1 species
GAAAGUAGCUAUAUAAGUAAAGUACAUUCAUUUUACUAAAUGAUCACUAAGUUAGAAACAUCUAACUAAUGUGCUUAGCCAGAAUAAAGAGCAGAUUUUAUGCAUGGCAUGUACAUUGGAUAAUUUUUCCCCAAUUUCUCUACAGCUUCUGGAGAUCAGACUGCUCAUAUUUGGAGAUACGUGGUACAGCUGCCGACACCUCAGCCUGUUGCCGACACUAGUCAACAAAUAUCUGGAGAAGACGAAAUUGAGUGCUCUGAUAAAGAUGAGCCUGAUAUCGAUGGAGAUGUGUCCAGUGACUGCCCUACAUUCGGGUUCCACUGACGUCUCUCAAAAGCCACCAGGGAGUGGUCAUAGCUGCUGAUUGGCUGGUUGGAGGGAAGCAGGUGGUGAAGCCUCGUGGGACAGAACAGCGAACCUGUAUGAUGUUGAGACAUCUGAACUUGUUCAUUCUCUCACAGGUACCUCACUAGAAAACGGUUGAGCUCCUAGUUGGUGCUGCCAGUUGAUGUUCAUGUGUCGAUGUCUGAGCCUGCAAAUGAUUUCUCGGCCAGAAUUGUUUUUAGUCCUCUUGGCUCUGGUUGUAAUUCUUGGAAAUCCUUUCUAAUUCACAGAACUGCUGGUAGUUAAAUUUAUUUUAUCUUUAGGAGAUUAAUUGUAGUAUGUAGUAUUUAGAUAUUUGAAAUACAGGUUGUUUUAUUGGUUUUUGUGUUUCUUGUGACAAAUUUCUAGAAACUUAAUGGUUUUAAAUAAGAGGAAUUUACUAUCUCAUGGUUUCCUGGUCAGGAUUUCUGGGUCCCUAGUAGCUACUCCUCUGCUCUGAGCCUUGCAGGCUGAAGUGAAGGUGUUGCCUAGGUGGGACCUCACCGAGGUUUGUGGUCUUCUUCCAAGUUUACUGGCUACCGGAGUAGUCCAUUUCCUUUUGACCAUGUGACUAGGUGUCCAUUUUCUUGAUACCUUCAAUUAGGGACUGUCCUGAGCACCUAGAGGCUGCCCUCGGUCCCUGGUGGACCCUCCAAAGGCAGUUUGCUAUCUUUCAGGCCAUCAGAACACAUCUCUGCUGAAUUUUUGAGGUUCUGGAGGGGCUAGCCACUUUAAAAGGGACCACCUGAUUAGGUCAGGCCACCUAGGACAACCUUUCUUUGAUUAACGCAAAGUAAACUGAUUUGGGACUUUAAUUACAUCAUGAAAUUCUUUUUGCCCUAUAGUGUACCCUAAUUACCAGAGUGGUAUCAUUAUGUUUUAGGUUUAGCCCAAAUGGAAGGGUAUAAUACAAGGUGUGUAUUUUACUGAAGGCCCAUAGUAUUAUGCUGUUAGAAGUUACUCUAGAAGUGAAGAAUUAAGAUUUAAAUUGCUGCAGUCAGACUGUUAAAGUGAUUUUUCUGACUUUCUAUUAGGAUCAGAAAAUGGGUUAUAUAAACAUCUAGUUCUCCCUGCUCCUUUUAAAUGGAUGACUGAAGGGACUUCAGGCCUCUGAGGUAGAACUGGUUCCACUGAGAUUCCAUGUACUGUGAAGUGAUUCCUAUAGGCUCAAUUUUCACUGGAUAUGGAGUCCGCAAAGAUUUUUGAUUCUUUCAGUCUAAUUGUGUGCCUGCAGGUGGAUGAUCUUGUGUUUUUAUUGUACUUGGUUGUAGGGCACGACCAGGAGUUAACUCACUGUUGCACACACCCCACCCAGAGGCUCGUGGUGACCUCCUCCCGUGACACGACUUUCCGUCUCUGGGAUUUCAGGGACCCUUCCAUCCACUCUGUGAAUGUUUUCCAAGGACACACGGAGUGAGUUGCCAUUGUUCAGAAAUCUUAACUAUUCAUGAAAAAGGUUUUAUGGAUUGCCAUUAAAACAUAAUUCUAAUCUUAAUUUUCAGUAUUUCCAACUUCACUGUCUUUCAGAAUGAUUGCUGCUUUCCUAAACAUUUUGCUACAUUUUUCAUAGGAUUUAAAAGAUUAAGAGAAGACCCUGAUACUCUUUCAGGAAAUUGGUGGGAUAGAAUGGAGCAGUUGGGGGAAGGGAGAGCACUCCAGGGUUGGUGGCAUGAGUAACAGGAAGGAUGAUCCUUGUCAUCCUUGAGAGAGUCCAACUGGAGCUGUUUUCAGCCACUUGAAAUUUAUUGCAGUGCAUCUUUUCACUCUGUUUUUUGAUAUUACAUGUAUUUGCAGAGCAUAUUUUGUGAGAUUGUGUGUACACACAGACAAGCAGAGACCCUCAUUCUAGUGUGUCCCUCUCUGCUUGGAUUUCUGUCAGGCAGCUUGAGCACGAGGAUAAUAAACUUGUUCUUCUCCCAGCCUGAUCCUUCUCA